GAUGAACGCUGGCGGCGUGCCUAAUACAUGCAAGUCGAGCGAACGGACGAGAAGCUUGCUUCUCUGAUGUUAGCGGCGGACGGGUGAGUAACACGUGGAUAACCUACCUAUAAGACUGGGAUAACUUCGGGAAACCGGAGCUAAUACCGGAUGAUAUUUUGAACCGCAUGGUUCAAAAGUGAAAGACGGUCUUGCUGUCACUUAUAGAUGGAUCCGCGCUGCAUUAGCUAGUUGGUAAGGUAACGGCUUACCAAGGCAACGAUGCAUAGCCGACCUGAGAGGGUGAUCGGACACACUGGAACGGAGACACGGUCCAGACUCCUACGGGAGGCAGCAGUAGGGAAUCUUACGCAAUGGGCGAAAGCCUGACGGAGCAACGCCGCGUGAGUGAUGAAGGUCUUCGGAUCGUAAAACUCUGUUAUUAGGGAAGAACAUAUGUGUAAGUAACUGUGCACAUCUUGACGGUACCUAAUCAGAAAGCCACGGCUAACUACGUG
rnacentral:rRNA from 1 species